UAGGGAAUCUUCCACAAUGGACGCAAGUCUGAUGGAGCAACGCCGCGUGAGUGAAGAAGGUUUUCGGAUCGUAAAGCUCUGUUGUUGGUGAAGAAGGAUAGAGGCAGUAACUGGUCUUUAUUUGACGGUAAUCAACCAGAAAGUCACGGCUAACUACGUGCCAGCAGCCGCGGUAAUACGUAGGUGGCAAGCGUUGUCCGGAUUUAUUGGGCGUAAAGCGAGCGCAGGCGGAAUGAUAAGUCUGAUGUGAAAGCCCACGGCGCAACCGUGGAACUGCAUCGGAAACUGUCAUUCUUGAGUGCAGAAGAGGAGAGUGGAAUUCCAUGUGUAGCGGUGGAAUGCGUAGAUAUAUGGAAGAACACCAGUGGCGAAGGCGGCUCUCUGGUCUGCAACUGACGCUGAGGCUCGAAAGCAUGGGUAGCGAACAGG
rnacentral:rRNA from 2 species